GUGCUCGCUUUGGCAGCACGUAUACUAAAACUGGAACAAGACAGAGAAGGUUAGCAUGGCUCCUGCACAAGGAUGACACGUAAAUUCGUCAAGCAUUCCAUUUUAAA
rnacentral:snRNA from 1 species